rnacentral:rRNA from 1 species
AUUGAACGCUGGCGGAAUGCUUUACACAUGCAAGUCGAACGGUAGAGGGGGCAACCCCUCGAGAGUGGCGAACGGGUGAGUAAUAUAUCGGAACGUGCCCAGUCGUGGGGGAUAACGUAGCGAAAGUUACGCUAAUACCGCAUACGAUCUAAGGAUGAAAGCGGGGGAUCGCAAGACCUCGCGCGAUUUGAGCGGCCGAUAUCAGAUUAGGUAGUAGGUGGGGUAAAGGCUCACCAAGCCAACGAUCUGUAGCUGGUCUGAGAGGACGACCAGCCACACUGGAACUGAGACACGGUCCAGACUCCUACGUGAGGCAGCAGUGGGGAAUUUUGGACAAUGGACGCAAGUCUGAUCCAGCCAUUCCGCGUGCAGGAUGAAGGCCCUCGGGUUGUAAACUGCUUUUGUACGGAACGAAAAGGUCUCUCUUAAUACGGGGGACUCAUGACGGUACCGUAAGAAUAAGCACCGGCUAACUACGUGCCAGCCGCCGCCGUAAGAC